UAUUAAAUUGGACAGGCAUGGUUCAGGGAAGUUAUAGAAGAAGAGUCCUCGAUGGCCUCUUCCCUUGAGCAAGUGCUUCAAUGCAAUUCUGAAGGGGAGUUCCUUGAGCUUGUGACUAUGGCCUUGGAUUUUUGCCACUGAACUGAAUAUUGAAAUAUGAAUUGGCAAGAAGGAAAUCAAGGGUAGCAAAAGAAGGUCGCCAAGAGCUUUGUUCUAUGUUUAGAGUUCAAUAUCACUAACUGAAAAUAUUUGAAAAUGUUAUUAAUUCAUAGCUACCUUGUGAGGUUAUGAUGAGUGAAUGCUUAUCUCCCUUUUUGCAAACUGAAAGCUAUUACUUAGUGGUGCAUGCUGUUGUAGUUCUGCACAUUCUGAAUUGUAAACAUGUUUUGUAACUUGUUGAUUUAGUUAUCAUGAUGCCGUAAAACUUCCUUAAAAAUGUCUCAUUUUGCGAAUCAGUUCUUGGCCUCGUAAUUAAUUGAUCAUGCCUCAAAGUCGAUAUGUUAAAUUUAUUAUGUGACAAAAUAUUUGGUUAUACAAUAUAUGAGACGUGAAUCUUAAUAACUUCAUUUGUUCCUUUGUUAUUUACAAAUUGUAUCUUAGUGGUGAUAUGAAUAUUUUGGUUGCUUAAUUUGCAUUUCCCCAAAUUUUAUGAAUAUUUUAUGUUAGAUGGUUAAUAUGAGAAAUAACUUUACUAUGUAUUUUUAUGUAAAAGUGUUUCGCGGAUUGUAUACAUGCUCAAAUAUAAUUGUAUAAAAGUUAAACUAUGGAAUAAAAUUAUUGGUUCUUUUCAUAUGCAUCUCUAGAUAAAACCGUAGCGUUAGCACGGGCAUUAUACUAGUCCUUAUAAAUACAUAACCUGGUAUUCUUGUGUUUCCAUGAGUUGAUGUAGUGUGUGUGUGCUAAUGGAAUUCCAUUCAACGUGUAUAUUUCCCAGUUGUCUGAAAUGGUAGCAGCCAUAAGCAGAGCACCUGUGGGAUACAAAUGGCCAUCAAGUGAGAAGGCAAGAACCACUCUUCUAGAUGCAGGCAAGAGAAACGUGGAGCAGGACUUAACGCCAAUUACAAAUACAUGGUCCAAAAACAUAUCUUUAUACUCUGAUAGUGUUUGGGAUGCCUAAAUGGUCCACAAGCUUGGGAUGUCUGGACAUCACCUGAAGCAAGAAGACAACAUUGGUCAAUCGAUAGUGGUUGCAAUGGCUGUCAGAGAGUAGCACACAAAGGCAAAAGAAAGAGUUGUGACAGGAACUGAUUAUGCAGCAAUCUGCAAGAAAGAGUUGUGACAGAACUGAUUAUGCAGCAACCUACACUUGAUGCGUUUGAUUAAAUGCAUGUUUUUUUACAAUUUAGUUCUGAAGUGCUUGUAGCCGAGUGAUGUAACUAGGACGACCUGCACAUCAUGCUCUAUAGUGAUAUUCUAUGAACUUAUUAUAUUUA